GACGAACGCUGGCGGCGUGCUUAGCACAUGCAAGUCGAGCGAUGAAGCUCCUUCGGGAGUGGAUUAGCGGCGGACGGGUGAGUAACACGUGGGCAACCUGCCUUAUAGAGAGGAAUAGCCAUCCGAAAGGAUGAUUAAUACCUCAUAAUAUUGUAGCUUCGCAUGAAGCAACAAUCAAAGGAGCAAUCCACUAUAAGAUGGGCCCGCGGCGCAUUAGCUAGUUGGUGAGGUAACGGCUCACCAAGGCAACGAUGCGUAGCCGACCUGAGAGGGUGAUCGGCCACAUUGGGACUGAGACACGGCCCAGACUCCUACGGGAGGCAGCAGUGGGGAAUAUUGCACAAUGGGGGAAACCCUGAUGCAGCAACGCCGCGUGAGUGAUGACGGCCUUCGGGUUGUAAAGCUCUGUCUUCAGGGACGAUAAUGACGGUACCUGAGGAGGAAGCCACGGCUAACUACGUGCCAGCAGCCGCAGUAAAAC
rnacentral:rRNA from 1 species